rnacentral:rRNA from 1 species
UACGGAGGGUGCAAGCGUUGCUCGGAAUUAUUGGGCGUAAAGGGCAGGUAGGUGGUCUCAUUUGUCCGGGGUGAAAUCCUUGAGCUUAACUCAAGAAGUGCCCCGGAGACGGUGAGACUAGAGUUUUGGAGAGGGUCGUGGAAUUCCCGGUGUAGCGGUGAAAUGCGUAGAUAUUGGGAAGAACACCGGUGGCGAAGGCGGCGACCUGGUCCGAUACUGACGCUGAGGCGCGAAAGCGUGGGGAGCAAACAGG